rnacentral:rRNA from 1 species
CCUACGGGAGGCAGCAGUGAGGAAUAUUGGUCAAUGGGCGCAAGCCUGAACCAGCCAAGUAGCGUGAAGGAUGACUGCCCUACGGGUUGUAAACUUCUUUUAUAAAGGAAUAAAGUGAGGCACGUGUGCCUUUUUGUAUGUACUUUAUGAAUAAGGAUCGGCUAACUCCGUGCCAUCAGCCGCGGUAAUACGGAGGAUCCGAGCGUUAUCCGGAUUUAUUGGGUUUAAAGGGAGCGUAGAUGGGUGGAUAAGUCAGUUGUGAAAGUUUGCGGCUCAACCGUAAAAUUGCAAUUGAUACUGGCAGUCUAGAGUGUAGUUGAGGUAGGCGGAAUGCGUGGUGUAGCGGUGAAAUGCUUAGAUAUCACGAAGAACUCCGAUUGCGAAGGCAGUUCACUGGACUGCAACUGACACUGAGGCUCGAAAGUGUGGGUAUCAAACAGGAUUAGAUACCCCAGUAGUC